rnacentral:rRNA from 1 species
ACUGGAGUUUGAUCCUGGCUCAGAUUGAACGCUGGCGGCAUGCCUUACACAUGCAAGUCGAACGGCAGCACGGGUGCUUGCACCUGGUGGCGAGUGGCGAACGGGUGAGUAAUACAUCGGAACGUACCUUAUCGUGGGGGAUAACGCAGCGAAAGCUGUGCUAAUACCGCAUACGCCCUGAGGGGGUAAAGCGGGGGUAUCGAAAGACCUCGCGCGAUUAGAGCGGCCGAUGCCUGAUUAGCUUGUUGGUGGGGUAAAAGCCCGACCAAGGCGACGAUCAGUAGCUGGUCUGAGAGGACGAUCAGCCACACUGGGACUGAGACACGGGCCCAGACUCCUACGGGGUAGGCAGCAGUGGGGGAAUUUGGACAAUGGGGGCAACCCCUGAUCCCAGCAAUGCCGCGUGAGU